UGGUUCUGACAGUGGGUUCAUCCUGCUGCUCUGCAAUCGGGAUGGUUCUGGUUCUGGACAUUUGGAUCCGAUUCUUGUGGAGACACUUCCCUCUGGCUGCAAACCAGUCUGCAGCCUCUGACCCGGUUCUGCAAAAAAAAGUAAAAAAACAACGGGGAAAAGUGCCCGAGGCCAAAGAAAGCGGAAAGACUUUGAGAAACCUGGAGGAAAGAUCGCGUCUCCUAGGAGACGGACUGGCGGACGGACUGACCUUCGCCCGUCCUCCUUGAGACCCAGCACAGGACCGGUUUCUGCUGAUGAGCUCGGUACCAGGAGGUUCUGAUGAUGCCAUCAGCUGUUGCUGUCCACAACAUAGACAUAAAUAAAGAACAGGCGCCUCAUAGCCGCUCCUGCUUAUUGUAACAGACAAGUUUUAGGACGGCCAUCUUGGAGAGGUCGACAGGUCCACUCAGCGUUAUGUGUUUGACAGGCACAAUGAAGUAUCAGCGCAUUUAAUCGAUCAUAACUCGCUAAAUACUAAACAUAUUUUCACGAUUUUUUAAUGUCAACCUCAUUCAAACAGCUUUCAUAGCUACAUUUACUAGAAAGUUAGUUUUUAAGUAUUUUUGUACUGACUGAUACAUGGUUGAGCAUAUUUACAGAAUAGAUUCGGAAUAGAAUAUUUUGAUAUUGAUGAAUGAUGAGCAUUUUACAAAACAUACAACCAGUCAUAAUUUUUUAAAAUAUAUUAUUUAGUAAUAUCAAUACAUAUUUAUAUAAAUAUACAAACAAAAUAAUACAA